rnacentral:tRNA from 1 species
AAUUAGAAAGCGAAUUAUUGCAUCUAGUUUCGACCUAGAUUUUGGCUUACUUAGCCUCUAAUUA